GAAAAUUUCAGCAGCGAAGGUACUCAUCCCCGGGCCUUUGCAGAGCACGUCGUGCGGAAGUAUCAACCGGCAUGGGUGGAAAUUAACGCCGCAAGUCCACGACACGCAAUGCUGCAAUCACCAACACAUGACAGCGGUGCAGAGGUCACCUCCUUUCCACGCUACGCCUCACCCUGCCUGACACGCUAAUGUCAAUGAAUCUUGAGAAGCAGAAGCGGAUGAAGCGUGGCGCGAAGGGAACGCCCUCGUGUCGUCACACUGACGUCGUGCAUGCGUCUCUCUGCGCGGGAAUUUCAAACCAGGAAGGAAGCCGACCUUCCAUGCUUGCUGAAAGCGGAGCGCAUAAAAGACAUCGCCGGCAUCAAAGGAAAUUUUUGGGACGCAGCACCGGCGGAACGAAGGAACAAGAGCGGGCCAUUAAAUCACGCCAGUCUCGGAACAAAUCACUUUCCCGGCGGUUUUCCCAAGAACCUUGCGGCGUUUAUUUUUUGUGGGGCAAAAAGAAGAAGAAAAAAAAAAAAGUUCUCGAGGAAGGUACCCAGUGAACCGUUGUUUGCGCCAGCUUGCUCAUAAAAUCGUCUAUCGAACAGCGUAAUUACUGGCUCAGUUUAUCGCCAGAAGCUUGUAUAAAUUAUGCAAAGAGAAAACAUAAUAAUACGAGUAAUAUGCA